CGGGAAACUGGGGAUAAUACCGGAUAUAUGGAGAUGCCUGGAAUGGUACUCCACUUAAAGCUCCGGCGCCUAAGGAUGGAUCUGCGGCAGAUUAGGUCGUUGGUGGGGUAAUGGCCCACCAAGCCUAUAAUCUGUACGGGUUGUGAGAGCAAGAGCCCGGAGAUGGAACCUGAGAAAAAGUUCCAGGCCCUACGGGGCGCAGCCGGGCGGAAACCUCCGGCAUGCGGAGCAAUCCGAACGGGGGGACCCCAAGUGCCACUCUUAACGGGGUGGCUUUUCUUAAGUGUAAAAAGCUUUUGGAAUAAGGGCUGGGCAAGACCGGUGCCAGCCGCCGCGGUAACA
rnacentral:rRNA from 1 species